UUACGGUCAAAUCACGCUGAAACACCGGUUCUCGUACGAUCACCGAAGUUAAGCAGCGUAGGUCAGUACUUAGAUGGGGGACCGCUUGGU